rnacentral:rRNA from 1 species
ACGGCUCAGUAACACGUGGUCAACAUACCCAGAGGACGUGGAUAACCUCGGGAAACUGAGGAUAAACCGCGAUAGACCAUAAUGUCUGGAAUGAUUUAUGGUUCAAAUCUAUAUGGCCUCUGGAUUGGACUGCGGCCGAUCAGGCUGUUGGUGAGGUAAUGGCCCACCAAACCUGAAACCGGUACGGGCUCUGAGAGGAGAAGCCCGGAGAUGGGCACUGAGACAAGGGCCCAGGCCCUAUGGGGCGCAGCAGGCGCGAAACCUUUGCAAUAGGCGAAAGCCUGACAAGGUUACUCUGAGUGAUCUCCGCUAAGGAAAUCUUUUGACACCUCUAAAAAUGGUGUAGAAUAAGGGGUGGCAAGCCUGGUGUCAGCCGCCGCGGUAAUACCAGCACCCCGAGUGGUCGGGACGAUUAUUGGGCCUAAAGCAUCCGUAGCCGGUUCUUUAAGUCCUCCGUUAAAUCCACCUGCUUAACAGGUGGGCUGCGGAGGAUACUAUAGAGCUAGGAGGCGGGAGAGGCAAGCGGUACUCAGUGGGUAGGGGUAAAAUCCGUUGAUCCAUUGAAGACCACCAGUGGCGAAGGCGGCUUGCCAGAACGCGCUCGACGGUGAGGGAUGAAAGCUGGGGGAGCAAACCGGAUUAGAUACCCGGGUAGUCC